rnacentral:rRNA from 1 species
GUCUACAGCCAUGCUAUCCUGAACAAGCUGGAUUGCAUCUGAUCUCAGAAGCUAAGCAGGGUUGGGCCUGGUAAGUACUUGGAUGGGAGACCAACUUAGGAAGACCAGGUGCUGUAGGUG